GUGGGGAAUUUUCCGCAAUGGGCGCAAGCCUGACGGAGCAACGCCGCGUGGGUGACGAAGGAUUUCGGUCUGUAAAGCCCUUUCAGUCGGGACGAGUCGCAGACGGUACCGACAGAAGAAGCAUCGGCUAACUACGUGCCAGCAGCCGCGGUAAGACGUAGGAUGCGAGCGUUGUCCGGAAUUAUUGGGCGUAAAGCGUACGUAGGCGGUCAUCUAAGUCUGGGGUUAAAGACCAAGGCUCAACCUUGGGAGUGCCCUGGAUACUGGGUGACUGGAGGACGGCAGAGGAAAGUGGAAUUCCCAGUGUAGCGGUGAAAUGCGUAGAUAUUGGGAGGAACACCAGUGGCGAAAGCGACUUUCUGGGCCGUUCCUGACGCUGAGGUACGAAAGCCAGGGGAGCAAACGGGAUUAGAAACCCGAGUAGUCC
rnacentral:rRNA from 1 species